GAGGGGAGGAAGGGAGGAUGAAGGUGGCCGCCGAGCGAGCUUGCUGCGGCUCCCUCAGCCCGCGCAGUGGUGAGGGAAGGGUCACCGGGAGACGCCGCCGGCGGCUGCGUAGUAGAAGAGGCUGGCGGCGGAACGCCCCCGCCCCGCAGGGUUGCCGGCGGAAAGGGCUCACUGCCGGCGAGGAGGAGCAGAAGGGGCGCCCGGGUACAGCCCUGUGCUGCCCGUCUUCUCUCCGCCACAGUGACCGGCGGUCGUGCGGAGCAACUCCGCUCUCGACGUCACUGGCAAUCCCCUAAUUUAGGGGAGACUGAGUCAUCGCUUCUGAGCGGCCAGACUCGCUGGUGCAGGCGCUGCUCGGCGAGGCCCUGACGCUGCGGGAGCGGCGGCCUGGUGGGCACCUCAGCGGCUCAGCCCCUGCUAAAUGGUUUUGCUGCUGUCAACAGCUUGGUGUGUGAACGCCAGAAUUGGGGUUUUCAGGGAAGAACAGGCAGCUGUUUAGCAAUACUUCAGUAUCCUCCCUUCCACCCUCCACUGGGAGACAUGCACCCAUAACUUUCUGAGGAGUGGAGACGGUACCACAGACCAAACUUUUUGAACUGAUACCGACCCACUGUUUCGGGCAGAUGUCAGAGGCACUUCCUUGUUUUCUGAAGAUCCCUGUAAGUUCUCCCGUUAUUUUCUUCCUCUCAUUUGCUGUUUCCAGGAGUUGCUGCAAAAAAAUUAGUUGCUGAAGUAAACCUCACAUACACAAGGUCUCAGGUUUUUAACUUAGAAGCACCAUGGCGUUUAGGCAGUGCUCCAAGCCAGUGUUUCUGGACCUGUGUGCUUUGGUUUACUGCGGCAUAGAGAGAGAGUUGUCUAAUGGCUGCACUAGCCUGGGAAUAGGUAUUCCUAUUCCAAUUCUAGAUUGUUGGCACCUAUCUGGUAGUUAAAGCCUUCUUGCCUUCAAGAAGGUGAGCCACUGUCAGCAAUUAAAGGUAGUUAACAGUCCCCUGGGUAGUGUAAGAAUUCAUGCCAAUAAUUGUGACUCAGUAGAGGCAAUCCAUCUGUAAAGAAUACAGAUGAGUCCUAAAAAGAGUCAUUCUUGUAAAAAAGGUAAUCAUCAUUCUAGAUGCACACAGGUAGUUACACAUAUGAAUAAGAAAUUAUUUUGUAAAAGUACCUGCUAAUUUACUAAACAUGAAGUUUUUUUCCCCCCUCUUAGAAGAUUAAAAAAAGAAAAAUUAGGAAGGGAAACGCUGAAGUGUAAGAGUAGCCUGCUAAGUUGCUGCAAUACUAUCUUUCAACAAAAGCAUUGAUAGUUCAGAUGUGCUGAGUUUCGAGAACUUGGUAUCAUCUGGCUCUUAAAAGUGCUCUUAAAAGUCUACUAGAUCCUCCUCUGAUAGCUUCUUAUAUGUUACUAGAAGAGUGACAGAGAAAACCAUCAUGGGAUUUUGCACAAGUCCAUGGGACAGGAAGAGGCUGAGCUCCCCUGAUAAUGCAUUUGGUAUCCUCUUUGAAGGUCCUCUUUUACAGCUCUUCAAGAUGAUGCUCAGCACUUUCUAUAGUGCUGUAAUGAAAUAUAUACCUGUACCCAGAAAUACCAAUUCUCUGCAACCCCCUCUAAGCUCAGCAGCAGGUCAGCCAUUGUUUUAGGAAGCUGGCAGGGGAGGGGGGAAGGGAAGGACAAAAUCAGGUGUUAUGAGUACAACUCUAGGGUGGAAAGUUUUAGAAGGUAUGGAGCUGAUGCCCACUGCUCAUCUCUGCUUUUUCUCCUUUUCCUCUGCUUUCUUCUUAUUUGGCCUCUUGUCUCUGACCUACAAUUGGUGAGAGAUGGGAGAUUUUGAAUAGAGUUUCAGAUGUUUUUUUCAUAUUAGGGGCCCAUUUCUUACCCUGGAGAAAACACUUGCAAGUAGAAGUGAAUGUCAUGAAUCAAAGAAGGAAGAGACUCUUGGGCUUCAUUUUCUUCCUAUUUCCUGUAUUUGACUAGAGGAUAAAAGUAUGCAUCUCUUCUCCUUUGGCUCCCAAGCCCCUUUGCUCUGUUUAUGAGAAAUCUUUCCUAUUUAGAAACCCAAAUAUCUGAGGUUUUCAGAAGUUUCUUGAAGCUGUUGCCUUACUACAGAUCUAAACUCACAGCAAUUGGAAUCAAGGGAACUUACAACCAGAUCAACAACUUGCACAACAGCUGUGUCAUAUAUAUAUAUUAUGUAUAUACAAAAUAUACUUCACAUAAUAUAAAUGUUUUAGUAAUUAUAGUUUUUCCACUCAUUAUGGUUAUCCCAGCUUCCCAGCUAAUCAGCACAAACUUCAGAAUACUUGAUAUGAGGAACAGAAAAUCCCAAACCUCCAAAUGUUCCACAAAUGCACAUACUGCAUAGCUGAUAGGAGGAAUUCUGCCUGCCUCCUUUCUCCUUCUCUGCCUUAGCUGAAUAUUGCUGUAUGAAAUACUAUGUAAUCAUUACAGCUGUGUCUCUGUUAAUUAGAAGUAAUAGUGUCUUCUGAUAAUUUGUCAUUAUACUUUAUAGUACAGACAAAUCAGAUGGGCUUAUUCCUCCUAACGAAUUGCUGUUUCCACACCAUUUAAUAGCUUAAUCCCUCUUCUAUAGUUACAUAUGCUUGGAGGGGUUUUCCUUGAUUGUUUGUCUGUUUAUUCUUUACGAGGCUAAAUUCAUGCUUAUGUGGAUGAUGGCAAUAUAAUUUUACAAGUCUGUUCCUUUUGCUUGUGGUUGUAAGUUUUGAGACAAAAGUACAAACAACAUGCAAGAUGAGCAGAGCUGAGCUUUGCAAGUAUGAAGACCAGCAGAGUCAUGGCUCACCCUCUCAUGCAAUAUGUAUUGGCUGUGCCCUGGAUAGUAUAUACUGUUUACAGAUAUUUAGGCAAGAAUUACCUGUUCAUGUCACCAAAUAAUGUUGGAUGAAUAUAUUCUAAAAUCUGGAAAACAAAUCUAGUUGUGUUUGUCCUUUUGCGGCCCAAUAUAGACUCAAGAACUUCAUGAACUUUCCAAA
rnacentral:lncRNA from 1 species